rnacentral:lncRNA from 1 species
UUUUUUUUUUUUUUUUUUUUAAGGCAGAGUCUCACUCUGUCGCCAGGCUGGAGUCCAGUGGCACAAUCUCAGUUCACUGCAACCUCCACCUCCCGGGUUCAAGCGAUUCUCCUGCCUCAGCUUCCUGAAUAGUUGGGACUACAGACAUGCGCCACCACACCCAGCUAAUUUUUGUAUUUUUAGUAAAGAUGGGGUUUCACCAUGUUGGCCAGCAUGGUCUCGAUCUCUCCACCUCGUGAUCCGCCCUCCUCAGCCUCCCAAAGUGCUGGGAUUACAGGCAGGCGUGAGCCACCGUGCCCAGCCACCAAUUACCAUUCUAAGUCUCAAGCUUGCAGCCAUCUAUCCAUGUCUGCUGGACUACAGGCUGCUGCCUACAUAAGACCAACCCAGUCUCUACAGUGCUUUUUACAAUAACCCACUAUGAAUUGCAGAUGGAGCCCCCCAGCUCCUUCCAUUGAGAGCAAUGAGAUGAAGAGAGGAAGAGGGCAAUCUCUCAACAAGUCAACCAUUACAGAGCCUUGAGAACGUUAAAAAGUCCGGCCUGCCACUAGCACAUUGUAGUUUAUUUUUUUGCCUCAUUCUGCCUACCUCAGACCCUUCAACUCCUCACUUUUCACAUAUCUGGAGGCUAAUCCCAUGUGAGAAACACUUCGGAAAACAAGUGUGACAACUUUGCCUGAGUCCCAGAAAGAAAGCUCUCUCUGAAGGGGCCCUUCGGUUGUUUUCCCAGGUGAGAUGUUUAAGACUUGAUCCCUGUUGUCUGAAUUCCUUUCUCACCACACCCAAGGUCAUUUUAAUGAAAAUUCCAAAGUCCAAGCCAAGAGGAUAGAGUUGCUCUUAAUCCUUCAGCAGUGCCGUCAUUUGAUCCCUAGACCCGCUGGGGUGAUUAUUGUGUGUCUGCAGAGCAGGGCUAAGCAGGCAGGAGGAGGAAGUGAUUGACCCUGCAGGGGGCCUGUUUCCUGGCCCUUGUUUCUCUGCUGGUGCUGCUGCUACCUCCCAAGCCCUCCCACCACCCUUUCUCCCUAUCACCUCAAGAUAAUGCUGACACUCAUGGCUGUUCUUCACCUUUUGGGGAAGUUC